rnacentral:rRNA from 1 species
GGAGUCUGGGCCGUGUCUCAGUCCCAAUGUGGCCGUAGAACCUCUCGGUACGGCUACUGAUCGAAGCCUUGGUGAGCCAUUACCUCACCAACAAGCUAAUCAGACAUGAGCCUAUCCAAAAGCGAAAAUCUUUGCCAAAAGAUCAUGCGAUCCUUUGAAGUAUGCGGUAUUAUCUUCUGUUUCCAAAAGUUAUUCCCCACUCAAGGGAAAGUUACUCAUGCUUUACUCACCCGUCCGCCACUAAACUCAAGAGAGACCGAAGUCACUCAAAAGUUCCGUUCGACUUGCAUGUGUUAGGCGCGCCGCCAGCGUC